GGCGGCGGGCGGCUGAGGCGCCGGAGCCGGCGGGGCGGGGCUGCGACGCUGCCGCCCCACCCCAACCCGCUCCUGCCAGCGGAGCGAGUCGCCUCCCGCCUUCGCCCAGGAUCGUCUAGCCCGUGCCUGAGGCGGGAAUAGCCCCCAGGCAACCAUCAUCUCAAACUGAGAUCAGUGGCUCCCUUUGGACCAGGACCCAUUGUGGUCCACACCCAGGGCUCGUCAGUCCCGGCGCCUCAGGGUGUGGGGCGGGUGCGCAGGACCCUCGCAGGCUGGAUCCGCAGGUUUCUCCUUGCCAGAAGAACCCAUUUUUUCAAGUUUGUGUUUCGGAUAUUCUUGCAACCCAUUUUGGGGCACGGCUACAGUGGCCAUCAUAGAGGAGAGUCGGGCUGUCCGCUGCCCAUGAACGACACGUGCCCCCAGGGCCUGGCGGAGCAUGACAGCGGCAGGAGCGCGGCGGUGGUUUCUUGUAUGAUGUAUGCAAGUGAAUUCAGGAAAAUUCUAAGCAAUCUCUGCUGUCCGUCAACCAGUGACAACAAUCAAAAAGCCAUAAAACCUCAGAUGCCUACUCACUGAUAAUGAGGAAGCAGGCCAAAAAAGAGGAGAUAGAAAAACAUUUUUCCAUGUGUCUUGAGGAGUGAGGUGAGUACAUACAAAGAACUAUUGAAUAAAAUAAAUUGUUUAAAUCA
rnacentral:lncRNA from 1 species